CAGGCUCUUAGAAGAGAGCAGGAAGAGUUAAUGGGACAAUGAGGACAGAGACCCUGCAAAGUAAACAGGCUACAGCCUCUGGGUACCGGCAGGCUGUUCUCUGAGGACUGGGAGUGGGAAAGACUUGGAAAAUUGUCCCAGUAAGUGGCAGACAGGAGGAGGGGGUCAUUUGAGAGAGCGUCCUUCCUAUGAUAAGAGAUGUCUGCUUUGAAUGCUCCUGAGCUGAGGGUGCCUGGCUCUCUGAUCACGUACAUCAGGAAAGUGGCACACCGUGCAAGCAUCUGGCCUUUUCCACGUGGAGCGGGGCAGGAUGUAAAAGAGAAAAGCUGGUGGGAAAGAAAUUGUGACCAGAUGAAGAAUUCCAGUUUCCAAAGAGAUUUCAUUAACUGGGGACAAAAGACAAGAGCGAGGGAGCGGAGAGAGAAUGAAUAAACUCAGGUGGAUCCCA